rnacentral:rRNA from 1 species
AGGACGAACGCUGGCGGCGUGCUUAACACAUGCAAGUCGAACGAGGUGGCUUGCACCUAGUGGCGAACGGGUGAGUAACACGUGAGCAACCUGCCUUUGGCUCUGGGAUAGCCUCCGGAAACGGGGAUUAAUACCGGACAUGACCUGUGACGGCAUCUUUCACGGGUGGAAAGUUUUUUCGGCCAAAGAGGGGCUCGCGGCCUAUCAGCUUGUUGGAGGGGUAACGGCCCACCAAGGCGACGACGGGUA